UCCACGCUGUAAACGAUGUUCAUUAGGUGUGGGAGGUUUCAAUACCUUCCGUGCCGUAGCUAACGCGUUAAAUGAACCGCCUGGGGAGUACGACCGCAAGGUUAAAACUCAAAGGAAUUGACGGGGGCCCGCACAAGCAGUGGAUCAUGUGGUUUAAUUCGAUGAUACACGAAGAACCUUACCAGCACUUGACAUCUAGGGAAGCCUUUAGAGAUAUUGGCGUGCCUUCGGGA
rnacentral:rRNA from 1 species